rnacentral:rRNA from 1 species
GAUUCCCUGAGUAACGGCGAGCGAAAAGGGAAGAGUCCAGCGCCAAGUCUUGACGCCUCGAUGUGUUCAAGAGAUGCGGCGUUAAUGUGUUGACGCAUCGUCCGCUGCCCUGCGUUCCAAGUUCCUUUGACAGGGACUCCCAGAGUGGGUGCUAGGCCCAUAGGGAUGCGGGGCUGGCGGGCGCCGGUCAAUACAUUCUAGAGUCAGGUUGCUUGAGAGUGCAGCCUAAAGUCGGUGGUAAACUCCAUCCAAGACUAAAUAUUACAGCGAGACCGAUAGCAAACAAGUACCGUGAGGGAAAGUUGCAAAGCACUUUGAAGAGAGAGUUCAACAGUACGUGAAACCACUGGGAGGCAAACAGAUGGAACCACGAAGUUUGCGCCUCGGACGAUUCAAUCGGCGCCGGCGGUCGCUGGCGCGYGGUCAGGGUUUCUUCGGAAGCCGACCGCGUGUCUCCUGACUGWCGGCACCGGUGCAUUUCGUUCCGGGGAUGCUAAGCCACGUUCGACCAGGGAACUGGGACGGCUGUAGGUCAGGGUCCGGGGAAGGUGCCCGCCAAGUGCUUGCGCUUGUCGGCGUUAUAGCCCCGGGCCGGAACCGUCGCCUAGUAUGCUGGUCGAUGAAAUUGCUCCUCACGGAGUGAAGCUAAGCUUCCGGGCGGCAGGCGUYGCUGCGACUUGGUCUUUUCGUAUCUUGCGGUGCGAAAAACCAGGACGAUGGUGGCGUCUGACGUCUGGUCGCGCAUUUAGCUAAACUGUGGCGCGAGUAGGUCGGUGUCCAUUUGACCCGUCUUGAAACACGGACCAAGGAGCCUAACAUGUGCGCGAGUCGCUCGGUCUUGACCAGGCCCGGGAGGCGAAAUGAAAGUAAAGCUACGAGGCCGCUYGCGGUCGCAGUAGUGGCCCGCCCACUUCGUUUAUUGGCGAUCGGGCGGAGCUGGAGCGCACACGUUGGUACCCGAAAGAUGGUGAACUAUGCCUGGGCAAGACGAAGCCAGAGGAAACUCUGGUGGAGGUCUGUAGCGAUUCUGACGUGCAAAUCGAUCGUCAGACCUGGGUAUAGGGGCGAAAGACUAAUCGAACCAUCUAGUAGCUGGUUCCCUCCGAAGUUUCCCUCAGGAUAGCAGGCGCUCGAUGGACCCAGUGUCAUCCGGUAAAGCUAAUGAUUAGAGGUCUUGGGGUUGAAACGACCUCAACCUAUUCUCAAACUUUAAAUGGGUGAGACGGUGGACGUGCUUGACUGACGCCCUCCAAUCGAAUGUGAGUGCCUAGUGGGCCAUUUUUGGUAAGCAGAACUGGCGCUGUGGGAUGAACCAAACGCCGGGAUAAGGUAUCAAACGCGUACGCUCAUGAGACCCCAUGAAAGGUGUUGGUUGCUAUAGACAGCAGGACGGUGGCCAUGGAAGUCGGAAUCC